AACGUAGGACACAAGCGUUAUCCGGAGUUACUGGGCGUAAAGGGCGUUUAGGCGGGUGAUUAAGUUCGCUAUGAAAGCGCCGGGCUAAACUCGGCGAGGCUGGCGGAUACUGGUCAUCUGGAGUGAGUCAGAGGAAGGUAGAAUUCCGCGUGUAGUGGUGAAAUGCGUAGAGAUGCGGAGGAAUACCAGUGGCGAAGGCGGCCUUCUGGGACUCAACUGACGCUGAGGCGCGAAAGCAUGGGGAGCGAACGGG
rnacentral:rRNA from 1 species